AAUAAGUGUAGCCAUGAGUUUCCGCACCCAACUUUGAUCGUCCGUUUUAUUUGAAAUUUUUUUAUAAUUAGCAGUUUUGUUGUUAUAAGAUGAUAAAACAUGAAUAAUACUUUACUCAUGACUUAUGUUUUUAAUUUCUUUUAAAAAAAAUUCAAAUAAGACGAACGGUCAAAGUUGGAUACUGAAAACCAUGUCUGUACUUAUU
rfam:Oryza nivara chromosome 3, whole genome shotgun sequence.